rnacentral:rRNA from 1 species
GUUUGAUCCUGGCUCAGAGUGAACGCUGGCGGCGUGCUUAACACAUGCAAGUCGAACGAGAACGGGCUAUAGCUUGCUAUAGUUGUCAGCUAAGUGGCGCACGGGUGAGUAAUGUAUAGGUAAUAUGCCUCUUACUAAGGGAUAACAAAUGGAAACGUUUGCUAAUACCUUAUAUUCCUUAUAAACAGAAGUUUAUAAGGGAAAGAUUUAUUGGUAAGAGAUUGGCCUGUAUUGUAUCAGUUAGUUGGUGGGGUAAUGGCCUACCAAGACAAUGACGCAUAACUGGUUUGAGAGGAUGAUCAGUCACACUGGAACUGAGACACGGUCCAGACUCCUACGGGAGGCAGCAGUGGGGAAUAUUGCACAAUGGACGAAAGUCUGAUGCAGCAACGCCGCGUGGAGGAUGACACAUUUCGGUGCGUAAACUCCUUUUAUAUAAGAAGAUAAUGACGGUAUUAUAUGAAUAAGCACCGGCUAACUCCGUGCCAGCAGCCGCGGUAAUACGGGGGGUGCAAGCGUUACUCGGAAUCACUGGGCGUAAAGAGCAUGUAGGCGGAUUGAUAAGUUUGAAGUGAAAUCCUAUAGCUUAACUAUAGAACUGCUUUGAAAACUGUUAAUCUAGAAUGUGGGAGAGGUAGAUGGAAUUUCUGGUGUAGGGGUAAAAUCCGUAGAGAUCAGAAGGAAUACCGAUUGCGAAGGCGAUCUACUGGAACAUUAUUGACGCUGAGAUGCGAAAGCGUGGGGAGCAAACAGGAUUAGAUACCCUGGUAGUCCACGCCCUAAACGAUGUACACUAGUUGUUGUGAGACUAGAUCUUGCAGUAAUGCAGUUAACACAUUAAGUGUACCGCCUGGGGAGUACGGUCGCAAGAUUAAAACUCAAA